GUUAGACUAGCCAAGCAGACACACUGUGGCCCUCGCCCCAUGGAGUGUAAGGACAGGGGUGUGCUGGGGCUCAAAAGCAGACUCCCAGUGAACCAGCAACAUCCGUGUCCACAAGGGCAUUGUAGGGUGACCAGCCUCAAAAAGGAGAAGAGAGACAGUUGGAGAAUUUGCAGGUCAGAACAACCAUCAAUUCUUCCAUUUCAAGUCUGCAGAAGUCUGGCAGGAGCGCAAGAGCUCAGAGCCACAAAGUCCCAGAGUUGGAAGAGACUGCAGGCUAUCCAUCCUUACCCCCCAUAGAUGCGAGUUACAACUGCAACACCAAGCCAACGGGCCAUCUGAUAUUUACCGAGUACCUGCCUUGUGGCGAGACCUGCCCUAAGUAGGAAAAUAAGAGUGAAAAAAGAAACAUUGCUCCUGCCCUCAGGAAGCUUACAGUCUAGGUUGGGAUACAGGAAACCUCUCCGGGAACAGUGUGGAGAACCUGCAAGGAAGGCAAGAGAUGGAUAUGGGAAGACCAGCAGGUUGCAGUGGUUUUCAUGGGUCAUGUUUAUCUCCUCUCUAUGAACCCUACUGUGUCAAUUUCCCUCUUUAAGCAUGAUGCCAGAAUGGAAUGACAUGCCAUAGGUGUGAAUUGACCAGCACAGAAUUCCAUAAGAUAAUUAAUUAUUGUAGAUACCACUCUUCUGUGAUUGCUGCCUGGGAUGACAAUAGCUUUAAGUGACAUAUCACUCUGCUGCUUCAUAUGGAGCUCAUUAUCAACAUAAAUUCUGG
rnacentral:lncRNA from 1 species